UACAGAGGGUGCGAGCGUUAAUCGGAAUUACUGGGCGUAAAGGGCGCGUAGGCGGUUAUUGACGUGCGAUGUGAAAGCCCUGGGCUUAACCUAGGAAGUGCAUCGCAAACGAAAUGACUGGAGUAUAAGAGAGGGUGGCGGAAUUUCCGGUGUAGCGGUGAAAUGCGUAGAGAUCGGAAGGAACGUCAAUGGCGAAGGCAGCCACCAGGCUUAAUACUGACGCUGAGGCGCGAAAGCGUGGGGAUCAAACAGGAUUAGAUACCCUGGUAGUCCACGCUGUAAACGAUGAGAACUAGAUGUUGGCUGGGGAACCAGUCAGUAUCGAAGCUAACGCGAUAAGUUCUCCGCCUGGGAAGUACGGCCGCAAGGUUGAA
rnacentral:rRNA from 1 species